AUCUUGGAAGAGUGAUUGGUUUAUGAUGGCUUCAACAUGGUAUAAGACCGCCUUUGAGUGUUUCGAGUUAAGAGAAAGCUUGUAUGGUUGAAGUAGAAGGUUUAAGUUAUCGGUUAAGGAAUCAGCUGUCUCUUCAACUUGUGCAAUAAGAGUUUUACAGAAUUGCUUAACGGAUAGUCUUGAUUCCGAUACUAUCUGCAAGAAUCCUUCAACCAUUACCUCUUCACUAACAGGAAUCGUG
rnacentral:misc_RNA from 1 species